rnacentral:rRNA from 1 species
CCCGUACACAAAAGCGCAUGUGUUGUGAGCUCGAUGAGUAGGGCGGGACACGUGGUAUCCUGUCUGAAUAUGGGGGGACCAUCCUCCAAGGCUAAAUACUCCUGACUGACCGAUAGUGAACCAGUACCGUGAGGGAAAGGCGAAAAGAACCCCGGCGAGGGGAGUGAAAAAGAACCUGAAACCGUGUACGUACAAGCAGUGGGAGCACCCUUUGGGGUGUGACUGCGUACCUUUUGUAUAAUGGGUCAGCGACUUAUAUUCUGUAGCAAGGUUAACCGAAUAGGGGAGCCGGAGGGAAACCGAGUCUUAACCGGGCGUUAAGUUGCAGGGUAUAGACCCGAAACCCGGUGAUCUAGCCAUGGGCAGGUUGAAGGUUGGGUAACACUAACUGGAGGACCGAACCGACUAAUGUUGAAAAAUUAGCGGAUGACCUGUGGCUGGGGGUGAAAGGCCAAUCAAACCGGGAGAUAGCUGGUUCUCCCCGAAAGCUAUUUAGGUAGCGCCUCGUGAAUUCAUCUCCGGGGGUAGAGCACUGUUUCGGCUAGGGGGCCAUCCCGGCUUACCAACCCGAUGCAAACUGCGAAUACCGGAGAAUGUUAUCACGGGAGACACACGGCGGGUGCUAACGUCCGUCGUGAAGAGGGAAACAACCCAGACCGCCAGCUAAGGUCCCAAAGUCAUGGUUAAGUGGGAAACGAUGUGGGAAGGCCCAGACAGCCAGGAUGUUGGCUUAGAAGCAGCCAUCAUUUAAAGAAAGCGUAAUAGCUCACUGGUCGAGUCGGCCUGCGCGGAAGAUGUAACGGGGCUAAACCAUGCACCGAAGCUGCGGCAGCGACACUGUGUGUUGUUGGGUAGGGGAGCGUUCUGUAAGCCUGUGAAGGUGUGUCGUGAGGCAUGCUGGAGGUAUCAGAAGUGCGAAUGCUGACAUAAGUAACGAUAAAGCGGGUGAAAAGCCCGCUCGCCGGAAGACCAAGGGUUCCUGUCCAACGUUAAUCGGGGCAGGGUGAGUCGACCCCUAAGGCGAGGCCGAAAGGCGUAGUCGAUGGGAAACGGGUUAAUAUUCCCGUACUUGGUGUUACUGCGAAGGGGGGACGGAGAAGGCUAUGUUGGCCGGGCGACGGUUGUCCCGGUUUAAGCGUGUAGGUGUGUGUUCCAGGUAAAUCCGGUU